AAAAAAAGUGCAAUAGAUGCAUGGAACGCAUUUCCCAAUGCCACAGAAGGGUUUCUGGCAGCAUAUGAGUGGAGUACUAGCGAGGCGUUUACAGUAAUCGAAAAGUUUGUCGUCAUUUUAUAUGACAGAGCCAGUUCAUUUACAACCGUAAACGAAGCCCGAAAGCACCUAUUCUCGAAAAAAGACCGCCAAUUGGAGAAUAUACCUCCGACGAAAGCUGCUCUAUACCAGCAUUUCCUGCGGGCAGUGUUCCAAGCAGUCCAUGUAUGGGGUCAGAUGUCACCGAAUCAAAAUCUUCCCUGUCCAUCUAACUGGGGAUGGAGAAAAGUCAGUGAAAGCUGGCAACCUACAUGGACAGGCUUGCCCGUAGCUGCAGAUGCAUGCCUGGAAAUGAUCCGGUGCAGAUGCAAAAAGAGGUGCGGCGGCUCGAGGUGCCGGUGCUUUCAGCGGCAACUUAAGUGCACGGAGCUUUGCGAUUGUGGGGGACAAUGUAAAUAAUAAACAUUUUUAAGUAAAAUUCUA